rnacentral:rRNA from 1 species
CCACAUUGUAAUCUCAAGAAGUGUUUUCCGCUUCGGACCAUGCCUAAGUCCCUUGGAAAAGGGCAUCAUAGAGGGUGAUAAUCCCGUACAUGGCAUGGAGCGCCCGAAGCUUUGUGAUACGCUUUCUAAGAGUCGAGUUGUUUGGGAAUGCAGCUCUAAGUGGGUGGUAAAUUCCAUCUAAAGCUAAAUAUUGGCGAGAGACCGAUAGCGAACAAGUACAGUGAUGGAAAGAUGAAAAGAACUUUGAAAAGAGAGUGAAAAAGUACGUGAAAUUGUUGAAAGGGAAGGGUUUGAGAUCAGACUCGAUAUUUUGUGAGCCUUGCCUUCGUGGCGGGGUGACCCGCAGCUUAUCGGGCCAGCAUCGGUUUGGGCGGUAGGAUAAUGGCGUAGGAAUGUGACUUUACUUCGGUGAAGUGUUAUAGCCUGCGUUGAUGCUGCCUGCCUAGACCGAGGACUGCGAUUUUAUCAAGGAUGCUGGCAUAAUGAUCCCAAACCGCCCGUCUUGAAACACGGACCA